rnacentral:rRNA from 1 species
CUCGAGGCCAGAUCUUUCCGGUUGAUCCUGCCGGACCUGACUGCUAUCGGAUUGAUACUAAGCCAUGCGAGUCUUUGUAGCAAUACAAGGCAGACGGCUCAGUAACACGUAGUCAAUCUACCCUAUGGAUGGGGAUAACCUCGGGAAACUGAGAAUAAUACCCGAUAGAUCAUUAUGCCUGGAAUGGUUUAUGGUCGAAAUGAUUUAUCGCCGUAGGAUGGGACUGCGGUCUAUCAGCUUGUUGGUGAGGUAAUGGCCCACCAAGGCUAUAACAGAUACGGGCUCUGAGAGGAGAAGCCCGGAGAUGGGUACUGAGACACGGACCCAGGCCCUAUGGGGCGCAGCAGGCGAGAAAACUUUGCAAUGUGCGAAAGCACGACAAGGUUAAUCCGAGUGUUUUCUGCUAAAGAAAUCUUUUGUCAGUCCUAAAAACACUGAUGAAUAAGGGGUGGGCAAGUUCUGGUGUCAGCCGCCGCGGUAAAACCAGCACCUCAAGUGGUCAGGAGGAUUAUUGGGCCUAAAGCAUCCGUAGCCGGCCGUGUAAGUUUUCGGUUAAA